rnacentral:rRNA from 1 species
AUAGCGUAUAUUAAAGUUGUUGCGGUUAAAAAGCUCGUAGUUGGAUCUCAGAUCGUGCCAGGUGGUCCACUUGCCAGUGGCUACUGCCUGGCCGAUCAAUUUAAUGAGCCGUCCUAUGGUGCUCUUCACCGAGUGUCAUAGGCGAUCAUUACGUUUACUUUGAAAAAAUUAGAGUGCUCAAAGCAGGCCUUAGUGCCCGAAUAAUGUUGCAUGGAAUAAUGGAAUAGGACCUCGGUUCUAUUUUGUUGGUUUUCGGAAUUCUGAGGUAAUGAUUAAUAGGGACGGACGGGGGCAUUCGUAUUGCGGCGCUAGAGGUGAAAUUCUUGGACCGUCGCAAGACGAACUAGUG